AAGCUCGUAGUUGAAUUUCGGGAUCGGUAUGUCGGUCGUGCCUUCGGUACGUACUGGUAUCAUCGAUUUCUCCCUUCUGACGAGCCAUGAUGUCAUUAAUUUGGUGUCGUGGGGAGUUAGGACUGUUACUUUGAAAAAAUUAGAGUGUUUAAAGCAGGCUUUCGCUUGAAUACAUUAGCAUGGAAUAAUGAAAUAGGACGUUCGAACCUAUUUUGUUGGUUUCUAGGAUCAACGUAAUGAUUAAUAGGGAUAGUUGGG
rnacentral:rRNA from 1 species